rnacentral:rRNA from 1 species
GACGAACGCUGGCGGCGUGCCUAAUACAUGCAAGUAGAACGCUGAAGGAGGAGCUUGCUUCUCUGGAUGAGUUGCGAACGGGUGAGUAACGCGUAGGUAACCUGCCUGGUAGCGGGGGAUAACUAUUGGAAACGAUAGCUAAAACCGCAUAAGAGUAGAUGUUGCAUGACAUUUGCUUAAAAGGUGCAAUUGCAUCACUACCAGAUGGACCUGCGUUGUAUUAGCUAGUUGGUGGGGUAACGGCUUACCAAGGCGACGAUACAUAGCCGACCUGAGAGGGUGAUCGGCCACACUGGGACUGAGACACGGCCCAGACGCCUACGGGAGGCAGCAGUAGGGAAUCUUCGGCAAUGGACGGAAGUCUGACCGAGCAACGCCGCGUGAGUGAAGAAGGGUUUCGGAUCGUAAAGCUCUGUUGUAAGAGAAGAACGAGUGUGAGAGUGGAAAGUUCACACUGUGACGGUAGCUUAACAGAAAGGGACGGCUAACUACGUG